AGUGUUGCGGAGUUUAUCACAAGAGUGUGGGCUUACUAUAGGUGGGUGUUGGAGAGCGAGAGAGAAGCACAAUCAGCAACAAGCGAGAGAGACUGGCUAUAAAUUAUUAAGUCGAUCGUGGCAACAGCACAACUCAUAGCAGGAGCGACAGUCCUACUCUUAACAGGAAGGAGCUCUACACGCAUAAAGAAAGAAUGUCAAGGACAAUACUGCUCUUCCUGUCAUGCGUAGUGCUUUGCUGUGUGUUCACAUCCGUUUCGGCGAGAUAUUUGGAUUGCACAAAGGAAUGUUACUAUAACCGUUACUAUACGUCAUGUGACUGUCCCUCUCCUAAGUUGCCUUUACGGUGGGGAAAGAGAGGGGUACGCGUUCCGUUCAGAUGGGGAAAAAGAUCUUUUGAUAACAACCAACCAGGAUCAUAUGGCGACAGCUGGUACGAUUCGGCACCAAUGGACCUCUCGGCGUAUUUUGAAGACAUCGCAUGAGAUCAUUGAAGACAUUCGAUGCUCGUGUGCAAACGGCGAGGCGAGAGUGACAUAAAUAUUUAUUUUGUAAUAAACCUCCCAAACCAUAGACUACUACAUGACUUUCUGACGAUACUCGGCAUGGCUAAGAGGAGAGGAAGAGGAAGAUGAGAGGAAGUGGCGGGGAAAUGGCGUGCGUUCCUGUUUCUUGGACUAGAUAUAACAAUACCAUAUUUACAUGACAUUUAACACAAACCAUUGAAACCAUUUCAAUAAAAAAGGCAUUUGUGAAUUGAUCUUCGACAGAUUGCUGAAUCAACAUGGUGAACCUAUCUAUAACUUAACAUGUGUGCAUUUUACUGUUCGUUCUUUAACCAAAUAUUAUUUUUCAUGUGAAAUGUUUGACCAAAAUGUGACAUUAAAAUAUUGUUUGUGUCUCCUAAACUUCAGUCAGAAGGAUUAAGUUAUCUAUUGAAAUGAAGACAGGAAGUUGUAAUUAUAAUUAUAUUAUACUAUAUUAUAAUAUAGUUAUUCUGACGUGUUGUGUUUGUGAUAUGCGAUUAUCCUCCUAUACAUAAAUAUCAAACUGGAGACCUGGAACAUUCCUAUUUUAAUGAAAACUUAAUAUUACACAUAUUACAAUAUAACAGUUUGCCGUGUUAACUAAAAAGCGACCACUUACAAUAUCGGUUUACUAAUGUAAGAAGAAAGUCAGUUUGAAGAUUUUAUAGAAAUAUAUAGUUUUAAUCUUGUUAAAUGUAUCUAAAUUCUUCAUGUAUUGUGUAAUUGCGCGUAUUUUGAACGCAUAGGAUUGUGAAUUUGAACAGAUUAAUAAUGUAUUAAUCUAUUCUAUUGUCAAAUCUGAUUCAUGGUGCUAAGCAAAUAUACAUGUACUGUUAAACACUGAAGUGGUACACAUGCUUUAAGUAGAUUCUUCUUGUUAUCGAGUACAUUUCAACUGCGGUAUUUGAUGAGAUUUUGAUGACAUAUAUAAAGAAGUAAUACUAUCAGUCCAUUAGUAUCACAUGGCCAUGCCGUAUUAAGGUUCGCCGACAUCGGAACCACGGGUGAUAGACAUGGAGGUAGUUGUUCUCACUAACAGUGAUGUACACGUCUUCAGUAAUUGUGUUGCUUUAGCAGGAUUUCGAUUUGAAGUGUGAAAUAAUUGUUCUUGAGGGUAAAAUCUCAUAUAUUCAACACGACACACGGGUAUAGGUUAGAUAUUAUCUGUGGCUGAUUCCGGUAAAUCAGAAAAACACAAAUUAUCUGCCAACUUUACAUGAUUGAUAAUAUUCACUAAUAUUGAUUGAAAAUAUGUUGCCUGUUAAUGUUGAUGCCACUAAGUUCACGGCGUGGAGCAUGUUCUAUUUGGAUAAUUAUAUGGUGGCUGCGGAGGAUA